rnacentral:rRNA from 1 species
UACGUAGGGUGCAAGCGUUAAUCGGAAUUACUGGGCGUAAAGCGUGCGCAGACGGUUGCGUAAGUCAGAUGUGAAAGCCCCGGGCUCAACCUGGGAAUGGCAUUGGAAACUGGCGGACUCGAGUGUGGCAGAGGGGGUGGAAUUCCGCGUGUAGCAGUGAAAUGCGUAGAGAUGCGGAGGAACACCGAUGGCGAAGGCAGCCCCCUGGGCUAACACUGACGCUCAGGCACGAAAGCGUGGGGAGCAAACAGG